rfam:Oryza sativa (indica cultivar-group) chromosome 9, whole genome shotgun sequence.
AAAAAGACAAACACUGGGUUUGCAUGUCCAACUUUGACUGUCCGUCUUAUAUGAAAUUUUUUUAAAAUUCGUAUUUUCAUUGUUGUUAGAUGAUAAAACAUGAUUAAUAUUUUAUGCGUGACUUGUCUUUUUAAUUUUUUUCAUAAUUUUUUCAAAUAAGACGGACGGUCAAACGUUGGGCACGGAAACCAGGGUUUGUCUUUUU